ACCUGAGAUAGCUUAAAGUAGAGCGCAACGUUGAAGCUGUUGAAGUAGUUUUGAACUUCCGGGUG
rnacentral:tRNA from 1 species